AUUGAACGCUGGCGGCAGGCCUAACACAUGCAAGUCGAACGGUAACAGGAAGAAGCUUGCUUCUUUGCUGACGAGUGGCGGACGGGUGAGUAAUGUCUGGGAAACUGCCUGAUGGAGGGGGAUAACUACUGGAAACGGUAGCUAAUACCGCAUAACGUCGCAAGACCAAAGAGGGGGACCUUCGGGCCUCUUGCCAUCGGAUGUGCCCAGAUGGGAUUAGCUAGUAGGUGGGGUAACGGCUCACCUAGGCGACGAUCCCUAGCUGGUCUGAGAGGAUGACGAGCCCCACUGGAACUGAGACACGGUCCAGACUCCUACGGGAGGCAGCAGUGGGGAAUAUUGCACAAUGGGCGCAAGCCUGAUGCAGCCAUGCCGCGUGGAUGAAGAAGGCCUUCGGGUUGUAAAGUACUUUCAGCGGGGAGGAAGGGAGUAAAGUUAAUACCUUUGCUCAUUGACGUUACCCGCAGAAGAAGCACCGGCUAACUCCGUG
rnacentral:rRNA from 1 species